UGAAUACGAGAUGCUAAGGCGUCGAAGUAGUGUAUGUCAUACUUCCAAGAAAAGCUUGCACUGUCAUAGAUAAAAAAUGCCUGUACCAUAACCGACACAGGUGGGUAAGUAGAGUAUACUAAGGGGCGCGAGAUAACUCUCUCUAAGGAACUCGGCAAAAUAACUCCGUAACUUCGGGAGAAGGAGUGCCUUAUUCUUAAGGUUGCAAUAACAAGAUCCAAGCAACUGUUUAUCAAAAACACAGGUCUCCGCUAAGUCGUAAGACGAUGUAUGGGGGCUGACGCCUGCCCAGUGCCAGAAGGUUAAAGAAGUUGGUUAGCAAUUGCGAAGCUGGUAACUGAAGCCCUGGUGAACGGCGGCCGUAACAAUAACGGUCCUAAGGUAGCGAAAUUCCUUGUCGGGUAAGUUCCGACCCGCACGAAAGGCGUAAUGAUUUGGAUGCUGUCUCGGAGAGGGGCUCGGUGAAAUAGACUUGUCUGUGAAGAUGCGGACUACCUGCACCAGGACAGAAAGACCCUAUGAAGCUUUACUGUAACUUGAAAUUGAAAUUGGACUUUAUUUGCGCAGUAUAGGUGGGAGGCGUUGAUUAUAAUCUUGCGGGAUUAUUGGAGCCAUCAGUGAGAUACCACUCUUGUAAUGUUAGAUUUCUAACUUUGAAUCAUUAUCUGGUCAAAGGACAAUUUCAGGCGGGCAGUUUGACUGGGGCGGUCGCCUCCUAAAUGGUAACGGAGGCGUACAAAGGUUUCCUCUGAACGGUUAGAAAUCGUAUCUAGAGUGUAAAGGCAUAAGGAAGCUUGACUGUGAGACCUACAAGUCGAGCAGGGACGAAAGUCGGUCUUAGUGAUCUGACGGUACUGAGUGGAAAGGCCGUCACUCAACGGAUAAAAGUUACUCUAGGAUAACAGGCUGAUCUCCCCCAAGAGUUCACAUCGACGGGGAGGUUUGGCACCUCGAUGUCGGCUCAUCGCAUCCUGGGGCGGUAGUACGUCCCAAGGGUUGGGCUGUUCGCCCAUGAAAGCGGUACGCGAGCUGGGUUCAGAGCGUCGUGAGACGGUUCGGUCCAUAUCCGGUGUAGGCGUUAGAAUAUUGAGAGGAGCCUUCUUUAGUACGAGAGGACCGAGAAGGACAUACCUCUGGUGUACCAGUUAUCGUGCCAACGGUAAACGCUGGGUAGCUAUGUAUGGAGUGGAUAACCGCUGAAAGCAUCUAAGUGGGAAGCCCACCUCAAGAUAAG
rnacentral:rRNA from 1 species